CGCCGCUGCCGCUGCACCAGCUGGUGAGCGAGGCGCAGGGCUGCCUGGGCCACGCGCUGCGCCUGCGCUCGGCGUACCCGCACGGCUCGCCACGCGUCACCGGCGUCACCACCAAGCAGGGGCGCUGGACCACAGUCGACUAUAUAUUUCACAGCGUGGCGCCACUGCCAGGCGCCUCGGGUCUGCGGCUGCUCUCGCGCCUGGCGCUGCCUACGGCCAGCCUCUGCCAGCAGCUGCGGCCGUAUCCCAGCGAGGCGCUGCCCUCCGACCACCUGCCGCUGGCCGUCCAGUUCCGGCUGUGCCCACCCGCUACCUGGUGGUCCGACCCCACCAGCUGACCGGGCCCGGGCGCCGGCCAACACCGGUAGUCUGGAGCGGCCGCUGGCUGGAGGCUGUGGCCUGUAGUUAACGCAGGGGGAUGGGACUGAGACGUGCAGGGGGAUGGGACUGUCCGCCGACCCAGGUUUCAGACGAAGUCGGCGGUAGCAUCCACGCCCGCUCCGCCGCGCUGGAUGGUGCAGGAGCAGGCGAGCAGAUUGCCUCUGGCUGGUGCUGCCACGCGCACCGGAGCGAGAAUGGGCCGCCCGGCCGACGCGUGUCGGAUGGCCGUGGUGGAGACGUGGCUGCGUGAUGCAGCCGCGCCCUGGUACAAACGCUCGGUCCCGACGUUCGUGGAUUGAGUGUGUUGCCAAAUGACAAACUGCUGGCACGUCGCUGUGCGGCGUGUCGCUUGGCGUGCGCUCAUUAAUACAUAACUUACGGCGCG